rnacentral:rRNA from 1 species
GAUGAACGCUGGCGGCGUGCCUAAUACAUGCAAGUCGAACGAACAGAUGAGGGGCUUGCUCCCCUAACGUUAGCUACGGACGGGUGAUUAACACGUUGAUAAGCUACCUAUGAUACUUGGGUACCUUCGUGAAACCGGUGCUAAGACCGGAUAAUAUAUUGAACCGCAUGGUUCCAUAGUUAAGAACAGUUUGUCAGUCACUUAGAGAUGGACCCGGGCCGGAUUAGCUAGUUGGUGAGGUAACAGCCCACCAAGGCGACGAUCCGGAGCUGGUCUGAGAGGAUGACCGGCCACACUGGGACUGAGACACGGCGCAGACUCCUACGGGAGGCAGCAGUGGGGAAUUUUCCGCAAUGCGCGCAAGCCUGACGGAGCAAGACCGCGUGAGGGAAGACGGUCUGUGGAUUGUAAACCUCUUUUGACAGGGAAGAAGUACUGACGGUACCUGUCGAAUCAGCCUCGGCUAACUCCGUG